GAUGAAGAACGUAGCGAAAUGCGAUAAGUAAUGUGAAUUGCAGAAUUCAGUGAAUCAUCGAAUCUUUGAACGCACAUUGCGCCCCCUGGUAUUCCGGGUGGCAUGCCUGUCCGAGCGUCAUUACAACCCUCAAGCUCAGCUUGGUGUUGGGCCCCGCCGCCCCGGCGGGCCCUAAAGUCAGUGGCGGUGCCGUCCGGCUCCGAGCGUAGUAAUUCUUCUCGCUCUGGAGGUCCGGUCGUGUGCUUGCCAGCAACCCCCAAUUUUUUUCAGGUUGACCUCGGAUCAGGUAGGGAUACCCGCUGAACUUAAGCAUAUCAAUAAGCGGAGGA
rnacentral:misc_RNA from 1 species